AACGCGAAGAACCUUACCUGGGCUCGAAAUGUUAUGGACCGCAGUGGAAACAUUGCUUUCCCGCAAGGGACCGUAAUAUAGGUGCUGCAUGGCUGUCGUCAGCUCGUGUCGUGAGAUGUUGGGUUAAGUCCCGCAACGAGCGCAACCCUUAUUACCAGUUGCCAUCAUUAAGUUGGGCACUCAGGUGAGACCGCCUCGGAUAACGGGGAGGAAGGCGGGGAUGACGUCAAGUCCUCAUGGCCUUUAUGUCCAGGGCUACACACGUGCUACAAUGGCCGGUACAAACCGUCGCAAACCCGUGAGGGGGAGCUAAUCGGAAAAAGCCGGCCUCAGUUCGGAUUGGAGUCUGCAACUCGACUCCAUGAAGCUGGAAUCGCUAGUAAUCGCAGAUCAGAACGCUGCGGUGAAUACGUUCCCGGGCUUGUACACACCGGAGUA
rnacentral:rRNA from 1 species